CGACUUAGAUUGAAUUACGUCUGCUUUGCAAGCAGGCGUCGCCGGUUCGAUCCCGGCCAGGUCCACCA
rnacentral:tRNA from 2 species